CUGGAAUCCAGUAGGGGACCAACCAGUAAAGCAUUGUACCAAUUAUGGGCUGAAUCAUUCUGAAUUUGUGAACUCACCUUAAGGAGUUCUCCUUUUAGGAUAUGUGUGGCUACCUGUGUAUGUUAUCUUUGGGAAAAAUAUAGUCCCCUGUGUAUGUGGGUGCCCACCAGGUUAAAUUCUUGGCAAAAAGAUCAUAAACUGGUACUGGUAAUGUGUUAAAUUGACAAGCUAAUUUAACAUCCUUUGAUGAUGUAUGAUAUAAUGUAAAAUAACAUGAGCAUGAAAAAUGUGAAACAUUACCAGUUAACCAUCCAUUGCAUUUACUGGAUUGGGGUUUUAGAAGUAACCAUUCAUUAUCUGUGAGGUUACACAUUCCUCUAAUCUUCUCUAGUUUAGGAAUCGUUAGUGUGUUUUCUAAUGCCAAUCCUUGUUGUUGUAUCCAUAAAUACCUGAUGGCACAAGUACUCUAGUUAGCGAGAUCUGUGGUGAAUUUCAUAGUUGCAACAGUUAAAUUAUCUAAAUAAUUAUACAUUGAUUUAUCUAAAUCCAAUCCUAUAACCUGUGAUUUAACAACAAUUGGAGCCCAGUUUGCAGUAGCAUGGAAACCAGUCCCUAUAUGCAUGCUGGCUGUGUUUAACUUAUUCUUGAGGGUCUCCAUAUCUAUAACUAUUUAGUAUACCCAUAGUGGUUCCAGCACCUCCUAACAGUGUGUCAUACCAUUCCCUUUUCUGCCUUUGUUUGUUGUAUUACAUAAUGUUACAACAAGAGUAGUGACUUUUAAUGACACAUGUACAGCUUGUAAGAAGGCAGUUGUAUUAACACAUGUGGACGGAAUAGGUGUGUGUGUGUCGUGGUUGACUUUUGGUUCUAUGAUAGUGGAUGAAGGACAGUAAUAAGGUGUAAAAAUAUAAGGUAGUGUAUAGUUCUCAAUUGCAGUGUCGUUCAUAAUGACUAACAUUUGUCCCCUUCUCCAAUUAAUGAUACCAGUUAUAUAAUCAUUAUUAAAAGUAAUAAGGCCUGUCUGUUUACAUUGAUAUGCAACCUUAACUGUGCACAUUUCUGCGUUAUAAGAUCUAACAAUUUUCUGUGAACCUUUAAACAAACAUAAUGCAUCGGUUUCAUUAGCUGUAGACACAUUUCAUAUGGGUAACUGGUACUUAUAAGGGUUACUAUUUGUCCAAUUCAUCCAGAUGCGUUCAGUGAAUGAAUGAUUGCAUAUUGCAUGCUGAUAGAAAGGUGGUGGAGAAAGGUUCUUGAGGGGGCGUGUGUGACGAAUGCUAGAUGAGGGGCUAAGGCCUAAUUGGGCUGGGGGUAUUGAAGAAUUGUUCAUCAUGUCAGAGUCUUUUUCCAGAACUUGCCAUUGACUUGUACUCAUAAUGGCAUUCAAGGAACAAUAUCAGAGGGAGUAUAACAACUCCAGAAAGCAUAGCGCACAACAUAAUCUUGGUCUCAGGUACGUAUGAUCCUCUCAAUCUACGAUAUGGUGUAAAAGCCAUGAUGCUUCGCUGAGGAGAAAUUCUUCUGUUUCCGAGCGAGGAGUGGUGUUGUCUUCCUUGGUUCCCCUCUUUGGACACAGCUUCACUCGGGAUGCGUGAAUCCAGAUGUCAUGGGAAUCUGUGAGGACAGCGGUUCUGGUUACAGCAAUCACAGUAGCAGGUGGUCCAAAAGGGUAUCCUCCUUUCUUGGUCCUGUUCAGCUGACGGAUAUACACCUUGUCACCGGGCUGGUAUGAAUGAGUAGGUUCCUGUGAAGGUAAGGGAAAACUGCGAAGAAACAUUGUCAUACAUACCAUUCGGUUUUAUCAACAAUUCAUCUUGUGGGGAUAUAUUCUUAUCUCAGCUAAAAUAGCUGGUAGAUAUCUAGUCCAAUUUUCCCAUGUUCCUGGGUAAAUUCUGGGCUUUUCCUUAAUAGUCCUAUUCAUCCUUUCAACUACCCCUGUAUUCUGUGGAUGAUAGGGUAUAUGAAACUGCCAGGUAACUUGCAAGAAUUUAGCAAGUUCCUGGGCAACCCCACUUGCAAAAACCGGGCCAUUAUCAGAGCCAAUCUGCAGAGGGCAGCAAUACCGGGGAAUAAUUUCAGUAACAAUAAUCUUCACUAGAAUCUUCCCUAGAUAUCACAAAGGCCUCAUGCCAUCUACUAAACUGAUUAACUAUGACCAGUAAGUAUUGCUGUUUCUUACCAAUUUUGGAUACAUAAAUAAAAUCAAUCUGUAAGUGUGUAAAAAGAGCAGCGUUCACACGAUCUUACAAAAGACUGUACAUGCUGCCUGAGAUUCCUAAUAUAAAAUGAAUUCAUGAAGAAUUGAAUGGUGCUUGCUAUGUGCCUGACUGAUGAAAAUAAAUCAGCUUGCUUCAAGUAUGCCUAUUCUUCAAGUAUGCCUAUUCUCCCCUCUUUAGAGAACAGAUCAUUUUGAUCUUUCUCUAAACCUUGUUUAAUCCAAAAGACAGAUUCUGGGUAUUUAAAAAAGAAUCUCAUAACCACUGAAGCGCUGGGCUGUCAUGUGUUGUGUGGUGAGAUUUGUCAUCAGCUGAGUGACCUGGUGACUGGCAUGAAGUAUUGUAGGAUGCCCUAGUGUGAUAGUAGUAGCACUUUUAACAGCCAUUGCACAUGCUAUCAAUGCUCUGAGACACGCCGGCAUACCCUGUACCGGAGCUCGAACUACUUUGGAAAAGAAUGCUAUGGGACGCAUACCGCCUCCUUGCUCUUGUGCACAGACUCUGGCCAUGGUUUUACAAUUGUCCCAAGCAUACAAAUGAAAUGGUUUACAAUACACAGGUAGUCCUAAAGCCUGGGCUUGCACAAUAACAACUGUAAGGGCAAUAUAUGCAGCUAGCAUGUCUGGUGACCAGCAGACAUUUUCAGGGCUGUCAG
rnacentral:lncRNA from 1 species